rnacentral:rRNA from 1 species
AUUGAACGCUGGCGGCAUGCCUAACACAUGCAAGUCGAACGCGAAAGGGCUUUGGCCCGAGUAGAGUGGCGGACGGGUGAGUAACGCAUGGGAAUCUACCUCGCCGUGGGGGAUAACCCGGGGAAACUCGGGCUAAUACCGCAUACGACCUACGGGUGAAAGGGGGCUUCGGCUCUCGUGGCGAGAUGAGCUCAUGUCCGAUUAGCUGGUUGGCGGGGUAAAGGCCCACCAAGGCGACGUUCGGUAGCUGGUCUGAGAGGAUGAUCAGCCACACUGGGACUGAGACACGGCCCAGACUCCUACGGGAGUCAGCAGUGGGGAAUAUUGGACAAUGGGCGCAAGCCUGAUCCAGCAAUGCCGCGUGUGUGAAGAAGGCCUGCGGGUUGUAAAGCACUUUCAGUGGGGAAGAACGCCUCGGGGUCAAUACCCUCGGGGGUUGACGUUACCCACAGAAGAAGCACCGGCUAACUCCGUGCCAGCCGCCGCCGUAA